rnacentral:pre_miRNA from 1 species
CUGAGCUGACUAUGCCUCCCCGCAUCCCCUAGGGCAUUGGUGUAAAGUUGGAGACCCACUGCCCCAGGUGCUGCUGGGGGUUGUAGUCCGACCCGACUGGGAGGAAGGC